AACGUAGGUUCCGAGCGUUAUCCGGAUUUACUGGGCGUAAAGCGUGUUCAGGCGGCCUGUCAAGUCGGGCAUGAAAUCUCUCGGCUCAACCGGGAGGGGCUGUCCGAAACUGACAGGCUGGAGGGCAGGAGAGGGUGGUGGAAUUCCGGGUGUAGUGGUGAAAUGCGUAGAUAUCCGGAGGAACACCAGUGGCGAAAGCGGCCACCUGGCCUGUACCUGACGCUCAAACACGAAAGCUAGGGGAGCGAACGGGAUUAGAAACCCCCGUAGUCC
rnacentral:rRNA from 1 species